ACCCCACAUCCCAAAGAGGCCAUCCCCACUCAUAUAUGCAAAGGCAAAGCAAGCUAUAAUCUUUUUCUUUUUCUGAACAAUACAGGAAAAAGGGAAGGUUACAAGGAAGCAAAAAGAAAAGAAAACAAGGGUAAUAACCAAGGCAAAGCAAGCUAUAAUCAUUAGGAGAUAGAUAACUCUCACAUUAAUAGUAUACAAAGUCGAUCUAUCCCUGUCAUGCUUCACCAUUUCAUUUGUUUGAUCUGAUGCCAAUCCAAAGCCCACAUAGCUCCAAGGCUGGACAUGGUAUCAAUAAGUAGAAACGGUUGGGAGAGGUACAACCCUGUCGUCUGUACUCCUGGCGGCGUCGGCGCAGAACAGGUGCACUGCUUUAGUGUGCUCUUGCUACGUACCAUCAAGGAGUUUGGACAACAAAGGUGAAGAAAGCAACAGCAACAAUACCAAGAAGCAGUUCCCUGCAGAAAAGAAAGAUGGGGUCAUGGAAGAGCUCCAUAAUCAUGAAUUACAACUUCAAAAUAGGAGCAAUGGGGGCAGCUACAGUAGCAGAAGUGGGUCUAAUGGGCCUCACAUUGAACCACCUGCUCUCAAGAGCAAUCUCAAGAAAACAACAAUAGUUGAUGGUAAUCAACUACCGGUAGAAAAGAGGAAAGUUAGUUGGCCUGAUGCUCAUGGCAAAGAUAUUGCUCAUGUCCAUGAAUUUGAACCAAGUGUGUCAGAAGAUGGGGAACUUGAGGGAGUAAGGAACUCUUGCGUUUGUGCUAUUCAAUAAACAAGAUGUCUAAAGGCAGUGGUGGAGGCAGACAUUUUCUUUUGUGUGGCCAAUUGUGAUACUUGCUAGAACAAUGUUUUCAUAAAUUCGUGUAAUGUAUAUGCUAAUUCAAUGAAGCAUUUGAUAAAAUUCGAACGUUUAGUCUUUUGCUUA